AACGAACGCUGGCGGCAUGCCUAACACAUGCAAGUCGAACGAGACCUUCGGGUCUAGUGGCGCACGGGUGCGUAACGCGUGGGAACCUGCCCUUAGGUCCGGAAUAACUCCCCGAAAGGGGUGCUAAUACCGGAUAAUGUCUUCGGACCAAAGAUUUAUCGCCUUUGGAUGGGCCCGCGUUGGAUUAGCUAGUUGGUAGGGUAAAAGCCUACCAAGGCGACGAUCCAUAGCUGGUCUGAGAGGAUGAUCAGCCACACUGGGACUGAGACACGGCCCAGACUCCUACGGGAGGCAGCAGUGGGGAAUAUUGGACAAUGGGCGAAAGCCUGAUCCAGCAAUGCCGCGUGAGUGAUGAAGGCCUUAGGGUUGUAAAGCUCUUUUACCCGGGAUGAUAAUGACAGUACCGGGAGAAUAAGCGCCGGCUAACUCCGUG
rnacentral:rRNA from 1 species